GACGAACGCUGGCGGCGUGCCUAAUACAUGCAAGUUGAGCGAUGAAGAUUGGUGCUUGCACCAAUUUGAAGAGCAGCGAACGGGUGAGUAACGCGUGGGGAAUCUGCCUUUGAGCGGGGGACAACAUUUGGAAACGAAUGCUAAUACCGCAUAACAACUUUAAACAUAAGUUUUAAGUUUGAAAGAUGCAAUUGCAUCACUCAAAGAUGAUCCCGCGUUGUAUUAGCUAGUUGGUGAGGUAAAGGCUCACCAAGGCGAUGAUACAUAGCCGACCUGAGGGGGUGAUCGGCCACAUUGGGACUGAGACACGGCCCAAACUCCUACGGGAGGCAGCAGUAGGGAAUCUUCGGCAAUGGACGAAAGUCUGGCCGAGCAACGCCGCGUGAGUGAAGAAGGUUUUCGGAUCGUAAAACUCUGUUGGUAGAGAAGAACGUUGGUGAGAGUGGAAAGCUCAUCAAGUGACGGUAACUACCCAGAAAGGGACGGCUAACUACGUG
rnacentral:rRNA from 1 species